CAAGCUAUUUACCACAUUUUAAACAUUUCCCGGAACUGAUAGAAAUGGCUUCGAUAUCAUAAUAAAAAAUAAAAUAAAUCUUCGUUAGGUUAGUAUGUACAUUUUAAAGUCGUGUUUUAUUGCGUGUAUAGACACCGAAUGGUGAGCAUUUUGCAAGUCAACUUUUGGGGUGCAUCGGAGAGGGAGAGGUGGGUGACGCUGGGCGCGUCAUCCUUUCCGCUCCGCGGCUUUAGGGAAUGUUUUUCGAACAUGUCGAAUGAAGAUAUAACAGAGAGGUCCAUCUGUGAACCAAACGCGACAGUCGACCUCUUACCCAGUUUGUUCUGGAGGGCCUCCAGGAUGCUGUCGGAGUCGCAAAGCAUGCAGGGAGUUGUAGUGCAGAUCUGGAUGUGGUACUUGCCCACCGGCUGCCUCAGGAACAUGGUGUAGAACGUCGCUACCUCAUAGAUCCUCAUCGGAGGGACCUCAAGCACCUCGGCCACCUGGGAGAAAAAAAAGAGAAAAAAAAAGAGAGAGACACAGAGAGAGAGAGAGAGACACAGAGAGAGAGACACAGAGAGAGAGAGAGACACACAGAGAGAGAGAGAGACAAAAAACACUGUAUAUAUAUAUAUAUAUAUAUAUAUAUAUAUAUAUGACAUUUGUAAUGUCUUUAUUGUUUUGAAACUUCUGUAUGUGUGGUGUCUACUGUUAAUUUUUAUUGUUUACCUUAUUUGCUUUGGCAAUGUUAACACAUGUUUCCCAUGCCAAUAAAGCCCCUUGAAUUGAAUUGAAUUGACACAGAGAGAGAGAGAGAGACACAGAGAGAGAGAGAGACACAGAGAGAGAGAGAGACACAGAGAGAGAGAGAGACACAGAGAGAGAGAGAGACACAGAGAGAGAGAGAGACACAGAGAGAGAGAGAGAGACAGAGAGAGAGACAGAGAGAGAGAGAGAGACAGAGAGAGAGAGAGACACAGAGAGAGAGAGAGACACAGAGAGAGAGAGGGAAACAAUUCUGAAAAAUGAAGGCUCGUGGACAGGAGGAGCGUUAAUCUAAUAAUGGAUGGAGUACUGAACACACCCCAAGUCUGCACAGGUUCUGUCGAAUUAUAUUGUUCUACAAAUCGUUGCCAAACAGCAAAAAAAAAAAAUGAACAUACUCUAUUCUAAAAACAGACUGAUGCCUCAGGAUAUUGAUUGAUAGAUUGAUGAAUGAC